CAACGAAUAUUCCGCAAUGGACGCAAGUCUGACGGAGCGACGCCGCGUGCAGGAAGAAGUCCUUCGGGAUGUAAACUGCUGUCAGGGGUGAGGAAAACUGACCAACCCCAGAGGAAGCACCGGCUAACUCCGUGCCAGCAGCCGCGGUAAUACGGAGGGUGCGAGCGUUGUUCGGAAUUAUUGGGCGUAAAGGGUAGGUAGGUGGUCUCGUUUGUCUGAGGUGAAAGCCCUGGGCUUAACUCAGGAAGUGCCUCAGAAACGGCGAGACUGGAGUCCUGGAGAGGGUCGUGGAAUUCCCGGUGUAGCGGUGAAAUGCGUAGAGAUCGGGAGGAACACCAGAGGCGAAGGCGGCGACCUGGACAGGUACUGACACUAAACUACGAAAGCGUGGGGAGCAAACAGGAUUAGAUACCCCCGUAGUCCCUGAGCGGGCUGGCAAGGCGCAU
rnacentral:rRNA from 1 species